AAAGACGGGUGAGAAUCCCGUCCACCGAUUGACUAAGGUUUCCAGAGGAAGGCUCGUCCGCUCUGGGUUAGUCGGGUCCUAAGCUGAGGCCGACAGGCGUAGGCGAUGGAUAACAGGUUGAUAUUCCUGUACCACCUAUAAUCGUUUUAAUCGAUGGGGGGACGCAGUAGGAUAGGCGAAGCGUGCGAUUGGAUUGCACGUCUAAGCAGUAAGGCUGAGUAUUAGGCAAAUCCGGUACUCGUUAAGGCUGAGCUGUGAUGGGGAGAAGACAUUGAGUCUUCGAGUCGUUGAUUUCACACUGCCGAGAAAAGCCUCUAGAUAGAAAAUAGGUGCCCGUACCGCAAACCGACACAGGUAGUCAAGAUGAGAAUUCUAAGGUGAGCGAGCGAACUCUCGUUAAGGAACUCGGCAAAAUGACCCCGUAACUUCGGGAGAAGGGGUGCUCUUUAGGGUUAACGCCCAGAAGAGCCGCAGUGAAUAGGCCCAAGCGACUGUUUAUCAAAAACACAGGUCUCUGCUAAACCGUAAGGUGAUGUAUAGGGGCUGACGCCUGCCCGGUGCUGGAAGGUUAAGAGGAGUGGUUAGCUUCUGCGAAGCUACGAAUCGAAGCCCCAGUAAACGGCGGCCGUAACUAUAACGGUCCUAAGGUAGCGAAAUUCCUUGUCGGGUAAGUUCCGACCCGCACGAAAGGCGUAACGAUUUGGGCACUGUCUCAACGAGAGACUCGGUGAAAUCAUAGUACCUGUGAAGAUGCAGGUUACCCGCGACAGGACGGAAAGACCCCGUGGAGCUUUACUGUAGCCUGAUAUUGAAAUUCGGCACAGCUUGUACAGGAUAGGUAGGAGCCUUUGAAACGUGAGCGCUAGCUUACGUGGAGGCGCUGGUGGGAUACUACCCUAGCUGUGUUGGCUUUCUAACCCGCACCACUUAUCGUGGUGGGAGACAGUGUCAGGCGGGCAGUUUGACUGGGGCGGUCGCCUCCUAAAAGGUAACGGAGGCGCUCAAAGGUUCCCUCAGAAUGGUUGGAAAUCAUUCAUAGAGUGUAAAGGCAUAAGGGAGCUUGACUGCGAGACCUACAAGUCGAGCAGGGUCGAAAGACGGACUUAGUGAUCCGGUGGUUCCGCAUGGAAGGGCCAUCGCUCAACGGAUAAAAGCUACCCCGGGGAUAACAGGCUUAUCUCCCCCAAGAGUUCACAUCGACGGGGAGGUUUGGCACCUCGAUGUCGGCUCAUCGCAUCCUGGGGCUGUAGUCGGUCCCAAGGGUUGGGCUGUUCGCCCAUUAAAGCGGUACGCGAGCUGGGUUCAGAACGUCGUGAGACAGUUCGGUCCCUAUCCGUCGUGGGCGUAGGAAAUUUGAGAGGAGCUGUCCUUAGUACGAGAGGACCGGGAUGGACAUACCUCUGGUGUACCAGUUGUCGUGCCAACGGCAUAGCUGGGUAGCUAUGUGUGGACGGGAUAAGUGCUGAAAGCAUCUAAGCAUGAAGCCCCCCUCAAGAUGAGAUUUCCCAACUUCGGUUAUAAGAUCCCUCAAAGAUGAUGAGGUUAAUAGGUUCGAGGUGGAAGCAUGGUGACAUGUGGAGCUGACGAAUACUAAUCGAUCGAAGACUUAAUCAAAA
rnacentral:rRNA from 1 species